rnacentral:piRNA from 1 species
GCCCUGUUCCUUCUCUCACGGUGGAAAUU